AUAUCUUCGGGCCGGAACAAGGAUGAUCACGAACGCCCGUGUCCCAGUUGGAGACUCGCCUUUGCAAUUCGGUAUGGUGAAUGAAGCCUGUGAUGAUCCGUAAUUGGGCUGGUUCGGAUGCGUAGAUUUUGCUACUGGGAAGGUCUUCGGAUCAUCCCUU
rnacentral:snRNA from 15 species